CAUGUUUAUUGUUCAUCUGCAUACCUGUGGGUCUAAUUUAGGCUAAGCUCUAGUUAUGUACAUUCAGAGAGACCAAGCUUGUAGGAAGAUAAAAAAUGAAGUUUUGAAAGCAGAUCUGGAGCAGGCUGAGAAUCUUGUCCAAAAUUUCAGCAGAUAUGUGUGAAGUAUAUGUGUGAAGAAAAACCUAAAUUUCAUCUUGGUGUCCAGUACUAGAGGAACUGCACUUUGACCUGCCACCUGAUUUGUAGUUACAACUGCUAUGAAAACACUGGGCCAGACCAUGUCAGACUUUAUCAUAAGU